rnacentral:rRNA from 1 species
GAUGAACGCUGGCGGCGUGCCUAAUACAUGCAAGUCGAGCGAACAGACGAGGAGCUUGCUCCUCUGACGUUAGCGGCGGACGGGUGAGUAACACGUGGAUAACCUACCUAUAAGACUGGGAUAACUUCGGGAAACCGGAGCUAAUACCGGAUAAUAUAUUGAACCGCAUGGUUCAAUAGUGAAAGACGGUUUUGCUGUCACUUAUAGAUGGAUCCGCGCCGCAUUAGCUAGUUGGUAAGGUAACGGCUUACCAAGGCGACGAUGCGUAGCCGACCUGAGAGGGGGGUCGGCCACACUGGAACUGAGACACGGUCCAGACGCCUACGGGAGGCAGCAGUAGGGAAUCUUCCGCAAUGGGCGAAAGCCUGACGGAGCAACGCCGCGUGAGUGAUGAAGGUCUUCGGAUCGUAAAACUCUGUUAUUAGGGAAGAACAAAUGUGUAAGUAACUAUGCACGUCUUGACGGUACCUAAUCAGAAAGCCACGGCUAACUACGUG